AGUAACGGCGAGUGAAGCGGUAACAGCUCAAAUUUGAAAUCUGGCUCCNUCGGAGUCCGARUUGUAAUUUGUAGAAGAUGCUUUGGGUUGUGGGUUCGGCCUAAGUUCCUUGGAACAGGACGUCAUAGAGGGUGAGAAUCCCGUAUGUGGCCGAGGCCUACGCCUAUGUAAAGCUCUUUCGACGAGUCGAGUUGUUUGGGAAUGCAGCUCAAAAUGGGUGGUAAAUUUCAUCUAAAGCUAAAUAUGGGCCAGAGACCGAUAGCGNACAAGUAGAGUGAUCGAAAGAUGAAAAGCACUUUGGAAAGAGAGUUAAACAGUACGUGAAAUUGUUGAAAGGGAAGCGCUUGCACCCAGACUUGGGCGCUGCUGAUCACCUUGAGUUCUUCUCAAGUGCACUCGACAGCGCACAGGCCAGCAUCGGUUCGGGUGGCUGGAUAAAGGCCGUAGGAACGUAGCUCCCUUCGGGGAGUGUUAUAGCCUACGGUGCCAUGCAGCCCAGCCGGACCGAGGACCGCGCCUUCGGGCUAGGAUGCUGGCGUAAUGGGUGUAAGCGACCCGUCUUGAAACACGGACCAAGGAGUCUAACAUCUAUGCGAGUGUUUGGGUGGUAAACCCAUACGCGGAAUGAAAGUGAACGUAGGUGAGAACCCCUUUGGGGCGCAUCAUCGACCGAUCCUGAUGUCUUCGGAUGGAUUUGAGUAAGAGCAUAGCUGUUGGGACCCGAAAGAUGGUGAACUAUGCCUGAAUAGGGUGAAGCCAGAGGAAACUCUGGUGGAGGCUCGCAGCGGUUCUGACGUGCAAAUCGAUCGUCAAAUUUGGGUAUAGGGGCGA
rnacentral:rRNA from 1 species